AAAAUAUUAGAAUCUGUAUUAAAAAAAUUGAGGUUACCAAAAAUAAUUUAGAGGGCAAAAAGGGAAUUUCAUGUUAAAGGGCAAAGAUUUAAGACUUACCACGUGCGAUUUAGGUGGCAGUGCGCUUAGUUAAAACGGGUGGCGCGCCAAAAGGUUUGGAAAGGCAUCGGUAUCGAGACUGAAACUGUUUUAUUUGAUCACGUGACUGUCCUUAGCCACUUA
rnacentral:lncRNA from 1 species